UUGAUGGCGAGUGGCGGACGGGUGAGGAAUGCAUCGGAAUCUGCCCAGUCGUGGGGGACAACUUNUGGCCCCUUGCGCUAAUACCGCAUACNACCUUCGGGUGAAAGCAGGGGAUCUUCGGACCUUGCGCGAUUGGAUGAGCCGAUGCCGGAUUAGCUAGUUGGCGGGGUAAUGGCCCACCAAGGCGACGAUCCGUAGCUGGUCUGAGAGGAUGAUCAGCCACACUGGGACUGAGACACGGCCCAGACUCCUACGGGAGGCAGCAGUGGGGAAUAUUGGACAAUGGGGGCAACCCUGAUCCAGCAAUGCCGCGUGUGUGAAGAAGGCCUUCGGGUUGUAAAGCACUUUUAUCGGGAACGAAACAUUGUCGGUUAAUACCCGGCNAGACUGACNGUACCCGAGAGAAUAAGCACCGGUCUAACUCCGUGCCAGCAGCCGNGGUUAAUACGGAGGGUGCAAGCGUUAAUCNGAAUUACUGGGCGUAAAGCGUGCGCNGGCGGUUUGUUAAGUCUGCUGUNNAAUCCCCGGAGCUCAACUUGGGGAAUUGC
rnacentral:rRNA from 1 species